CGAGAGCAGAUAGCCAGGCAAGAGCUAAAAAAGGUGACAUUUGAUCUCUAUGAUGGAGCCAUUGGAUUUGUCAAUAUAAGAAAUGUGCACUGGAAGUUUGUGUACCUCCAUGCCCUUUCAAACCACAUUUAUGUGGUUGAUCCUCUGCAAGGGUCAAAUGAAGUUGAGGACUCCAGAAAGGCUGCUUACAAAUUUGGGUAAUAUAAAAUAUAUUACAGGAAAUACAUUGGUUAAACGCACAUUUGGU